UUAUGGCCAUAUCAUUUGGAAACACCAGUUCCCGUAUGAUCACUGAAGUUAAGGAACCUGAGGCUUGUCAGUACCUAGACAGGUGACCACUCCGAAAUAUCAGGUGCUGUAA